rnacentral:misc_RNA from 1 species
GACUAUUGGCGCCGUGUCUUCUCAUUCGUGUGAGAUAUCUUACAGUUUCCUUUCAGGUGCUUGCAUGAUGUUACCCGACCUGCGGGCAGUGGUGCUUCAUACAAAGUUGACUCGCGGUGGACGCCUUUGGGUGUGCUACUGUGGCCAUAUGGCGCUUGCGGCGUUUCCUCUUGGUCCGGCAUGUUUUUGUGCCUGGUGCUAUCAAGGCAGCCUCGCUCUCGCUGUUGGUUUUGGAUGUUGCUCAUGAUAUAGGCUUGUGGCCCUUUUUGGUUGCCUUGGCCUGACCCUAAUAACGCUCUCCGAAUUUGAGAACAACCGGAACAUGUGUUGCCUCUACCUCUCCACAGUUAGUGGUAGGAUUACGCAACAUACUGUGCCGAUCCUCAUACAAGUAGGACGAGCUAGGCCCGCUCAAUUGCGACAACUAGCCCGGUAGUUGCCUCUGCCUUGCCACGCAAGUGG